GACGAACGCUGGCGGCGUGCUUAACACAUGCAAGUCGAACGGAAAGGCCCUGCUUUUGUGGGGUGCUCGAGUGGCGAACGGGUGAGUAACACGUGAGUAACCUGCCCUUGACUUUGGGAUAACUUCAGGAAACUGGGGCUAAUACCGGAUAGGAGCUCCUGCUGCAUGGUGGGGGUUGGAAAGUUUCGGCGGUUGGGGAUGGACUUGCGGCUUAUCAGCUUGUUGGUGGGGUAGUGGCUUACCAAGGCUUUGACGGGUAGCCGGCCUGAGAGGGUGACCGGCCACAUUGGGACUGCGAUACGGCCCAGACUCCUACGGGAGGCAGCAGUGGGGAAUAUUGCACAAUGGGCGGAAGCCUGAUGCAGCAGCGCCGCGUGCGGGAUGACGGCCUUCGGGUUGUAAACCGCUUUCGCAUGUGACGAAGCGUGAGUGACGGUAAUGGGUAAAGAAGCACCGGCUAACUACGUG
rnacentral:rRNA from 1 species